ACGGAAGGCAGCAGUAGGGAAUCUUCCACAAUGGGCGAAAGCCUGCUGGAGCAACGCCGCGUGUGUGAUGAAGGGUUUCGGCUCGUAAAACUCUGUUGUAAGAGAAGAAUGACAUUGAGAGUAACUAUUCAAUGUGUGACGGUAUCUUACCAGAAAGGAACGGCUAAAUACGUGCCAGCAGCCGCGCUAAUACGUAUGUUCCAAACGUUAUCCGGAUUUAUUGGGCGUAAAGCGAGCGCAGACGAUUAUUUAAGUCUGAAGUGAAAGCCCUCAGCUCAACUGAGGAAUUGCUUUGGAAACUGGAUGACUUGAGUGCAGUAGAGGAAAGUGGAACUCCAUGUGUAGCGGUGAAAUGCGUAGAUAUAUGGAAGAACACCAGUGGCGAAGGCGGCUUUCUGGACUGUAACUGACGUUGAGGCUCGAAAGUGUGGGUAGCAAACAGGAUUAGAUACCCUGGUA
rnacentral:rRNA from 1 species